rnacentral:rRNA from 1 species
UAGGGAAUCUUCCACAACGGACGCAAGUCUGAUGGAGCAACGCCGCGUGAGUGAAGAAGGUCUUCGGAUCGUAAAACUCUGUUGUUAGAGAAGAACACGAGUGAGAGUAACUGUUCAUUCGAUGACGGUAUCUAACCAGCAAGUCACGGCUAACUACGUGCCAG